GGGUGCGACCAUACAAGCGCCAGAGUACCGGAUCCCAUUAGAACUCUACAGUUAAGCGUGCUAGGGCGAGAGUAGUACUGGGAUGGGUGACCUCCUAGGAAGUCCUCGUGUUGCACCCC